rnacentral:rRNA from 1 species
UGCCAGCAGCCGCGGUAAUACGGAGGGUCCAAGCGUUAUCCGGAUUCACUGGGUUUAAAGGGUGCGCAGGCGGCUUGGCAAGUUGGGUGUGAAAUCCCUCGGCUCAACCGAGGAACUGCGCUCAAAACUGCCAAGCUAGAGGGAGACAGAGGUGAGCGGAACUUAGGGUGGAGCGGUGAAAUGCGUUGAUAUCCUAAGGAACACCUGUGGCGAAAGCGGCUCACUGGAUCUCUUCUGACGCUCAGGCACGAAAGCUAGGGUAGCGAACGGGAUUAGAUA